AACGAACGCUGGCGGCAUGCCUAACACAUGCAAGUCGAACGAGACCUUCGGGUCUAGUGGCGCACGGGUGCGUAACGCGUGGGAAUCUGCCCUUCGGUUGGGAAUAACUGAGAGAAAUUUCAGCUAAUACCUUAUAAUGUCUUCGGACCAAAGAUUUAUCGCCGGGGGAUGAGCCCGCGUAGGAUUAGGUAGUUGGUGGGGUAAUGGCCUACCAAGCCGACGAUCCUUAGCUGGUCUGAGAGGAUGAUCAGCCACACUGGGACUGAGACACGGCCCAGACUCCUACGGGAGGCAGCAGUGGGGAAUAUUGGACAAUGGGCGAAAGCCUGAUCCAGCAAUGCCGCGUGAGUGAUGAAGGCCUUAGGGUUGUAAAGCUCUUUUACCCGGGAUGAUAAUGACAGUACCGGGAGAAUAAGCUCCGGCUAACUCCGUGCCAGCAGCCGCGGUAA
rnacentral:rRNA from 1 species